rnacentral:rRNA from 1 species
UACGAAGGGGGCUAGCGUUGCUCGGAAUCACUGGGCGUAAAGCGCACGUAGGCGGAUUGCUAAGGCAGGGGUGAAAUCCUGGAGCUCAACUCCAGAACUGCCUUUGAUACUGGCGACCUUGAGUCCGGGAGAGGUGAGUGGAACUGCGAGUGUAGAGGUGAAAUUCGUAGAUAUUCGCAAGAACACCAGUGGCGAAGGCGGCUCACUGGCCCGGUACUGACGCUGAGGUGCGAAAGCGUGGGGAGCAAACAGG